rnacentral:rRNA from 1 species
AUUGAACGCUGGCAGCAGGCCUAACACAUGCAAGUCGAACGGUAGCACAGAGAGCUUGCUCUCGGGUGACGAGUGGCGGACGGGUGAGUAAUGUCUGGGAAACUGCCUGAUGGAGGGGGAUAACUACUGGAAACGGUAGCUAAUACCGCAUAACGUCGCAAGACCAAAGAGGGGGACCUUCGGGCCUCUUGCCAUCAGAUGUGCCCAGAUGGGAUUAGCUAGUAGGUGGGGUAACGGCUCACCUAGGCGACGAUCCCUAGCUGGUCUGAGAGGAUGACCAGCCACACUGGAACUGAGACACGGUCCAGACUCCUACGGGAGGCAGCAGUGGGGAAUAUUGCACAAUGGGCGCAAGCCUGAUGCAGCCAUGCCGCGUGUAUGAAGAAGGCCUUCGGGUUGUAAAGUACUUUCAGCGGGGAGGAAGGUGCUGAGGUUAAUAACCUCAGCAAUUGACGUUACCCGCAGAAGAAGCACCGGCUAACUCCGUG